UUAAGCGACUAAGCGUACACGGUGGAUGCCCUGGCAGUCAGAGGCGAUGAAGGACGUGCUAAUCUGCGAUAAGCGUCGGUGAGGUGAUAUGAACCGUUAUAACCGGCGAUUUCCGAAUGGGGAAACCCAGUGUGUUUCGACACACUAUCAUUAACUGAAUCCAUAGGUUAAUGAGGCGAACCGGGGGAACUGAAACAUCUAAGUACCCCGAGGAAAAGAAAUCAACCGAGAUUCCCCCAGUAGCGGCGAGCGAACGGGGAGGAGCCCAGAGCCUGAAUCAGUGUGUGUGUUAGUGGAAGCGUCUGGAAAGGCGCGCGAUACAGGGUGACAGCCCCGUACACAAAAAUGCACAUACUGUGAGCUCGAUGAGUAGGGCGGGACACGUGGUAUCCUGUCUGAAUAUGGGGGGACCAUCCUCCAAGGCUAAAUACUCCUGACUGACCGAUAGUGAACCAGUACCGUGAGGGAAAGGCGAAAAGAACCCCGGCGAGGGGAGUGAAAAAGAACCUGAAACCGUGUACGUACAAGCAGUGGGAGCCUCUUAAUGGGGUGACUGCGUACCUUUUGUAUAAUGGGUCAGCGACUUAUAUUCUGUAGCAAGGUUAACCGAAUAGGGGAGCCGAAGGGAAACCGAGUCUUAACUGGGCGUUAAGUUGCAGGGUAUAGACCCGAAACCCGGUGAUCUAGCCAUGGGCAGGUUGAAGGUUGGGUAACACUAACUGGAGGACCGAACCGACUAAUGUUGAAAAAUUAGCGGAUGACUUGUGGCUGGGGGUGAAAGGCCAAUCAAACCGGGAGAUAGCUGGUUCUCCCCGAAAGCUAUUUAGGUAGCGCCUCGUGAAUUCAUCUCCGGGGGUAGAGCACUGUUUCGGCAAGGGGGUCAUCCCGACUUACCAACCCGAUGCAAACUGCGAAUACCGGAGAAUGUUAUCACGGGAGACACACGGCGGGUGCUAACGUCCGUCGUGAAGAGGGAAACAACCCAGACCGCCAGCUAAGGUCCCAAAGUCAUGGUUAAGUGGGAAACGAUGUGGGAAGGCCCAGACAGCCAGGAUGUUGGCUUAGAAGCAGCCAUCAUUUAAAGAAAGCGUAAUAGCUCACUGGUCGAGUCGGCCUGCGCGGAAGAUGUAACGGGGCUAAACCAUGCACCGAAGCUGCGGCAGCGACACUAUGUGUUGUUGGGUAGGGGAGCGUUCUGUAAGCCUGUGAAGGUGGCCUGUGAGGGUUGCUGGAGGUAUCAGAAGUGCGAAUGCUGACAUAAGUAACGAUAAAGCGGGUGAAAAGCCCGCUCGCCGGAAGACCAAGGGUUCCUGUCCAACGUUAAUCGGGGCAGGGUGAGUCGACCCCUAAGGCGAGGCCGAAAGGCGUAGUCGAUGGGAAACAGGUUAAUAUUCCUGUACUUGGUGUUACUGCGAAGGGGGGACGGAGAAGGCUAUGUUGGCCGGGCGACGGUUGUCCCGGUUUAAGCGUGUAGGCUGGUUUUCCAGGCAAAUCCGGAAAAUCAAGGCUGAGGCGUGAUGACGAGGCACUACGGUGCUGAAGCGACAAAUGCCCUGCUUCCAGGAAAAGCCUCUAAGCAUCAGGUAACAUUAAAUCGUACCCCAAACCGACACAGGUGGUCAGGUAGAGAAUACCAAGGCGCUUGAGAGAACUCGGGUGAAGGAACUAGGCAAAAUGGUGCCGUAACUUCGGGAGAAGGCACGCUGAUAUGUAGGUGAAGCGACUUGCUCGUGGAGCUGAAAUCAGUCGAAGAUACCAGCUGGCUGCAACUGUUUAUUAAAAACACAGCACUGUGCAAACACGAAAGUGGACGUAUACGGUGUGACGCCUGCCCGGUGCCGGAAGGUUAAUUGAUGGGGUUAGCGGCAACGCGAAGCUCUUGAUCGAAGCCCCGGUAAACGGCGGCCGUAACUAUAACGGUCCUAAGGUAGCGAAAUUCCUUGUCGGGUAAGUUCCGACCUGCACGAAUGGCGUAAUGAUGGCCAGGCUGUCUCCACUCGAGACUCAGUGAAAUUGAACUCGCUGUGAAGAUGCAGUGUACCCGCGGCAAGACGGAAAGACCCCGUGAACCUUUACUAUAGCUUGACACUGAACAUUGAGCCUUGAUGUGUAGGAUAGGUGGGAGGCUUUGAAGUGUGGACGCCAGUCUGCAUGGAGCCGACCUUGAAAUACCACCCUUUAAUGUUUGAUGUUCUAACGUGGGCCCGUAAUCCGGGUUGCGGACAGUGUCUGGUGGGUAGUUUGACUGGGGCGGUCUCCUCCUAAAGAGUAACGGAGGAGCACGAAGGUUGGCUAAUCCUGGUCGGACAUCAGGAGGUUAGUGCAAUGGCAUAAGCCAGCUUGACUGCGAGCGUGACGGCGCGAGCAGGUGCGAAAGCAGGUCAUAGUGAUCCGGUGGUUCUGAAUGGAAGGGCCAUCGCUCAACGGAUAAAAGGUACUCCGGGGAUAACAGGCUGAUACCGCCCAAGAGUUCAUAUCGACGGCGGUGUUUGGCACCUCGAUGUCGGCUCAUCACAUCCUGGGGCUGAAGUAGGUCCCAAGGGUAUGGCUGUUCGCCAUUUAAAGUGGUACGCGAGCUGGGUUUAGAACGUCGUGAGACAGUUCGGUCCCUAUCUGCCGUGGGCGCUGGAGAACUGAGGGGGGCUGCUCCUAGUACGAGAGGACCGGAGUGGACGCAUCACUGGUGUUCGGGUUGUCAUGCCAAUGGCACUGCCCGGUAGCUAAAUGCGGAAGAGAUAAGUGCUGAAAGCAUCUAAGCACGAAACUUGCCCCGAGAUGAGUUCUCCCUGACCCUUUAAGGGUCCUGAAGGAACGUUGAAGACGACGACGUUGAUAGGCCGGGUGUGUAAGCGCAGCGAUGCGUUGAGCUAACCGGUACUAAUGAACCGUGAGGCUUAACCUU
rnacentral:rRNA from 1 species